rnacentral:misc_RNA from 1 species
UGUCCAGAGGCUCUAUUUCAACCAUCUUUCCUUGGAAUGGAAUCGUCUGGUAUUCAUGAAACCACAUACAACAGUAUCAUGAAAUGUGAUGUUGAUAUCCGUAAAGACUUGUACGCUAACACCGUAUUAUCUGGUGGUACCACCAUGUAUCCCGGUAUUGCUGACCGUAUGCAGAAAGAAAUCACAUCUCUUGCACCACAGACAAUGAAAAUCAAAGUCAUUGCCCCACCAGAGAGGAAAUACUCCGUCUGGAUCGGUGGUUCCAUCCUUGCUUCUCUCUCCACCUUCCAACAGAUGUGGAUCAGCAAACAGGAGUACGACGAAUCCGGUCCAUCCAUUGUCCACAGGAAGUGCUUCUAAAUAGCAGACUCUGAACAAAUUCUUUAUGUGCAAUAAAUUAAACUGUAAUAUAUGCGGAAAGCAUGAGAGGGAUGAAUGAUUGUUAAAGUGUUGUGUGCGACUUUAAGUUAGAAAAAUAAAAUAUAAAAAAUC